UACGUAGGGGGCAAGCGUUGUCCGGAAUCAUUGGGCGUAAAGAGCGUGUAGGCGGCCAGAAAAGUCCGCUGUGAAAACUCGAGGCUCAACUUCGAGCUGUCGGUGGAAACUUUCUGGCUAGAGUCCGGAAGAGGAGAAUGGAAUUCCUGGUGUAGCGGUGAAAUGCGCAGAUAUCAGGAAGAACACCGGUGGCGAAGGCGGGAUCCUGGGCCAGUACUGACGCUGAGGAGCGAAAGCGUGGGGAGCAAACAGG
rnacentral:rRNA from 1 species